UAAUAUUUAAAUAGUUAUAAUAAUUCGGAAUAAUAAUAAAUAAUAGUAGAAUAUGAUGCAUCUAAAAAUUCUAUGAACUUGUUACUGUCUAAAUGAAAAAAAUUACUAACUAGAGAAAUGUUAUAAAUUCUUUUGCUGCAUACUUGGGUGGUUAUGCUCAUCUAGCUUCAAUGUGUCUUAACUUUCCAAAAUAAAAUAGUAGAAUAUGAUGAGGUUUUCUAUAAAAAAACAAAAUAAAUAAAAAUAAAACAAAAGGCUUUUAUACCUCAAAUCAAG
rnacentral:lncRNA from 1 species